rnacentral:tRNA from 1 species
GGGGGAGUAGCUUAGUGGUAGAGUGCAUGUUUAUCACGUGUGAGCUCUGGGUUCAAUCUCCAGUCCCCUA